AGCGAACGCUGGCGGCAGGCCUAACACAUGCAAGUCGAGCGAACCUCUCGGGGUUCGUGGCGGGCGUGAGAGACGCCUGGGAGAACGUGCCUUUGUGCUCGGCAUCUCUCAGGGAAUCUUGUGCUAAUACCGAAUGUGCCCACCGGGGGAAAGUUUUAUCCGCUGUAUCGGGGCCCGCGUCUUUAUAGCUUGUUGGUUGAGGUAAUGGCUCACCAAGGCGACGAUCAGUAGCUGGUAUGAGAGGAUGAUCAGCCACAUUGGGACUGAGACACGGCCCAAACUCCUACGGGAGGCAGCAGUGGGGAAUCUUGCGCAAUGGGCGGAAGCCUGACGCAGCCAUGCCGCGUGAAUGAUGAAGGUCUUAGGGUUGUAAAAUUCUUUUGUCCGGGACGAUAAUGACGGUACCCGGAGAAUAAGCCCCGGCUAACUUCGUG
rnacentral:rRNA from 1 species